rnacentral:rRNA from 1 species
CUACGAAAGGUGCAAGCGUUGUUCGGAUUUACUGGGCGUAAAGAGAGUGUAGGUGGUUUAUUAAGUCGGAUGUGAAAUCCCGGGGCUCAACCUCGGAACUGCAUUCGAUACUGAUAGGCUAGAGUUCGGGAGGGGUAAGCGGAAUUCCGUGUGUAGCAGUGAAAUGCGUAGAUAUACGGAGGAACACCUGAGGCGAAGGCGGCUUACUGGACCGAUACUGACACUGAGACUCGAAAGCGUGGGUAGCAAACAGGAUUAGAAACCCGAGUAGUCC